UGGAUUGUGUUCAUGGUGGGUGGUCCUAGUCAGUGUCCUUAGCCCCAGAGGGGACAUAGUGGUUUUUGCCUUUUUGUCUUCUACAGGUAACUGCCUGAAACCCAUUCUCACCAGGGGACUUUUCCUCACUCCUAGACGCAGAUGGUUCCUGAUGGUAACCAGUUUGCUUGGCCACUGAGUUGCGGUGUGUGACGGGAUGAUCUGCAGUGCAAUGGUGCGCUUCCCAAAAGAGCAGCAGUGGCCGUGCCUUUGUUCUGCAGGCAGAUUUGAAGUAUCAGAGAAAGGAGCCACUUAGGGCAUCUCCAGGAAAUUGCCUCCGAUAAUGAGAGCCCGAGGUUGGCACUUUGCACUUUGGCUGCACAGCUUCAGCUACCCACAGCUAGUCUCUUGUGAAUCUUGGUGUCCUGAGGACAGAUUCUUGGUGUCCAUGGCAGACUCUUCCAAGACUCCCCACAGUCUCACCCUGGGAGACGGCCACAGGCCCGUUCGAUUAGGCACUCACUUGUUUCCAGACAAUUCUGUUCGCCUCGGAUCCUGUUUUCCCCUCCCUUCCCUUUUCUGUGACUGUGGCCCAGCACUCUUGGCUGAUGUUUUUUUUUAGAAAUCAGAACUUGGUGCAUUCUAGCUAGAAAAGUUUAACAGUCUAUUGGAUACAUUUUUUGGAAUUACUUUUGGAAAUUUUGAUGUAAAAAUGUUGCUUUAAGGCCACUCUGUGUACUGGUAACUCUUAAUGUUUCAUCAUUUACCUGAAGUGCAGCCAAAUCAGUUUUCUCCCAUCCAAGUACUAGCCAGGCCCGACCCUGCUUAGCUUCUGAGAUCAGAUGAGAUUGGGCGCAUUCAGGGUGGUAUGGCUGUAGACCCAAAUCAGUUUUCUUCAUGACAGUUUGGUCAGUCACACAGUGUUUUUUGAACCAAUGGUGAGUGUCUGUGAAGCAUUUGUAGCUCUUUGUUAGGUGACCUAUGAAAUGACAGAACCUUGCAAGGUUAGGGUUAGUAACCCCAAUCUGCUAAUGGGAAGUUACAAACCUGCUUGAACUUAGAGGAAGCAGGCAGGGGCCAUCCUUCCAAGGCCAGGCUUCCUACCCCCGGCCACAGCUCUUCUCCUCCAACCCAACUCUGUGUUCUGAAGGGUUGAGGGAUACUUCAGGGUGGGGAUUGCAGUUGUUUUGGAAUGUCCUAAACCUUUGAAUGAACAACUCUGUUCAUGGAUUUUGAACUCUGUGUUCAGAAUUGAGCCUGUUUCUUUGUUCUGUUUGGGAAAAAAUGUUGAUUUUGGAGGUCUUAAAGGGGGCUGUGUGUCCUUUGCACACUUUGAAGGAAUGGGUAGCCAGCUGCCGAUAGGAAUUCGACUUGUGAAUUGCUGCAUUCGUUUCUAAUACUCGGAUGAUCAGUUAUUUGUCCUAAGUUGAUUACAGAUUGGAGUUCAACUCCUAUCUAGAGUGGAAAGUCACUUCCAGAUUGGCCUGCAGAGAGCAGCUGAAAACUUUACUUUGCAAGUCGGAACUCUGUAGAGAGAAGAUAAACUUGUCAUGUAUUGAGAGACCCCAGCUUUCUGAGCUACUGACCAUACAGCUUUGGGUACAGAUGUGUGGAAGAGAGGGCCACUGUAAUUCUGAGUGUCCGAAAGUACGAAUCUGUUAU